UACGUAGGGUGCGAGCGUUGUCCGGAAUUAUUGGGCGUAAAGGGCUCGUAGGCGGUUUGUCGCGUCUGCUGUGAAAACCUAAGGCUCAACCUUGGGCUUGCAGUGGGUACGGGCAGACUAGAGUGCGGUAGGGGUGACUGGAAUUCCUGGUGUAGCGGUGAAAUGCGCAGAUAUCAGGAGGAACACCGGUGGCGAAGGCGGUUCUCUGGGCAUU
rnacentral:rRNA from 1 species